UGCACCGAAGCUGCGGCAGCGACGCUUAUGCGUUGUUGGGUAGGGGAGCGUUCUGUAAGCCUGCGAAGGUGGCCUGUGAGGGUUGCUGGAGGUAUCAGAAGUGCGAAUGCUGACAUAAGUAACGAUAAAGCGGGUGAAAAGCCCGCUCGCCGGAAGACCAAGGGUUCCUGUCCAACGUUAAUCGGGGCAGGGUGAGUCGACCCCUAAGGCGAGGCCGAAAGGCGUAGUCGAUGGGAAACGGGUUAAUAUUCCCGUACUUGGUGUUACUGCGAAGGGGGGACGGAGAAGGCUAUGUUGGCCGGGCGACGGUUGUCCCGGUUUAAGCGUGUAGGUGUGUGUUCCAGGUAAAUCCGGUUCACUUUAACACUGAGGCGUGACGACGAGGCACUACGGUGCUGAAGCAACAAAUGCCCUGCUUCCAGGAAAAGCCUCUAAGCAUCAGGUAACAUCAAAUCGUACCCCAAACCGACACAGGUGGUCAGGUAGAGAAUACCAAGGCGCUUGAGAGAACUCGGGUGAAGGAACUAGGCAAAAUGGUGCCGUAACUUCGGGAGAAGGCACGCUGACACGUAGGUGAAGUGAUUUACUCAUGGAGCUGAAGUCAGUCGAAGAUACCAGCUGGCUGCAACUGUUUAUUAAAAACACAGCACUGUGCAAACACGAAAGUGGACGUAUACGGUGUGACGCCUGCCCGGUGCCGGAAGGUUAAUUGAUGGGGUCAGCGCAAGCGAAGCUCCUGAUCGAAGCCCCGGUAAACGGCGGCCGUAACUAUAACGGUCCUAAGGUAGCGAAAUUCCUUGUCGGGUAAGUUCCGACCUGCACGAAUGGCGUAAUGAUGGCCAGGCUGUCUCCACCCGAGACUCAGUGAAAUUGAACUCGCUGUGAAGAUGCAGUGUACCCGCGGCAAGACGGAAAGACCCCGUGAACCUUUACUAUAGCUUGACACUGAACAUUGAGCCUUGAUGUGUAGGAUAGGUGGGAGGCUUUGAAGUGUGGACGCCAGUCUGCAUGGAGCCGACCUUGAAAUACCACCCUUUAAUGUUUGAUGUUCUAACGU
rnacentral:rRNA from 1 species